UACAAAAUUAGAAUCAUCUGCAGGAUUUCACAGUAAUUCAUUUAAUUUCCUGUUUUCUGUGUUAUUUGACUUCUGUAGUACGACUGUUAAGAGAGGGAAAAAGUAUCAACUGUUUUUCUUUGAAGAUGGUACAGGAAGCUCAGGAAACUUAAAUUUCAAAGAUUUGCCAGUUCAUAAGGGGAAUAUAUUUUACUCAAUCCAUCUACAUUCCAAGUAGUGAACUGACUCUUAACAAAGCCAUGGUGACCAACAGCCACAGUCUGAUUUUUUUUUUUUAAAGGAAAGAAAUAAUGUUCUUUCCGUAUGUUGAGGGCCAGGAAAAAAACAAUAUGUGAGACGAUUGUGUAACAGUUUCAGAAAGUAGGCACCUGCUACCUUCAGUGCAUCAAAAUAGUUGAGGUUUUACCUCUUCCCCUGCCACUUGCUCCCAGUCCUACCUUCACCGCAAUGUAAAGAUCAGGUCUUCACCAGUGAGUUUUAUCAAAGCACUGCAACAGUUUUUCUUCCCCCACCCCAGCUCUAGAGCCAGAAACCUUCAUUGCAAGGAAGUACAAGUAUGUUGCUAGGGAGCAGUGAAGCCAUCGUGUCAGGUUUGGCCUCUGAAAUACACGAAAGGGCUUUAGCUUGCAGAGAACUUCAGCAGUUCUGCCAUGUCCAUGUGGAGUUCUUGGGGCCUGUACAAAACAUAGUCUCACCCCAUAUAAUGUGAAAUUGGGAUUCCAGUAACAUGCCUUCCUCUGGCUUCUGGAAUGCCUCAAAAAGGAGGCAAUAUAAAUUCAGUAAGAUGGACAGGACAUAAACUAAUCCUGAUGGAAACAUUCAUAUCGAUUUCCCUUAAGGGCUGGAUCAAUUAGAUGUCCAUGAUACACGUGACUUUAUUUCUGCAUUACCUGGCACCAGGGUCUCAUAACACUCACAGUUUUGUGAUCCACGUUUCAGAGUUCGGAGGUAAGAGUAUGAGCACCAUUUUGCAAAUGUCAUUCAGCUCCCCUCCAUCUGCAGAACAGUUUCAGCAAUCAUCCUCUCUAAGUAAAGAAAACCUUUCAGGAGCUAAGUCAGGUAUUACUCAUUAUUAUCACAACUUGGGAUGUGAAGGAAAGCCCUAGCUGCCCUUUUCAACAAAUGCCAAACUCUUAGUCAAAACACAUCCUUUCAGUGUGGGCCUUGUCUUUGAUCUUGGGGAAGAAAAGCAGCCAAAGAAUAGGAAGUCUCCUCAGAGAACAGCUGUUAUCUAACCUCAAAGACAAAAGCUUCAGAAAGGCAUUAAUGAGCUCAUUAGCAAAUAAAUUGCAUGCAGCUACAGACAAUAGCAAUAUCUGAUUUCAGGAACUGAAACCAUUUUAUUCCUCUCUUAUUUGUAGGCCAGAUCCCUUGAGCUGUCUACCACUCUACAAGGCAUCCAGGGCCUUCUAGGACCAAGCUGUAAUUGUAUGGCCGAAGCAUAGACCUAGCACAUGCCGAUGAAAUAUAAUUUCAAGAAAGUUGCUAGACUGAGUCAGAUAAGAUACAAGCGUCUCAGUACUGAAAACCCAAAAGAAAUACUGUGACAGAGUCGGAGAGUUUCUAAAACUUGGAGAAGAGUCCUGAGUUCAUUUCUGCUUGUGUUGGAACUGACCAGCUGGAAAACCAGCCCUCCCAGUUUUAGUUUCCAUGGUGGUGGGACCACCACAGCAUUGCAAAGAGGUCCCAGGAAUUAAAUAUUCUCCAUAUUAAGAGUAUAGCGACAUACUUCUGAUUGAGUUUGUCACACUUCAACAUCUGGCCAUUUAAUCCAAUUAUACCAUUUUCUGCCAGCAUGAUGGAACUUAAUAUCCUAUAUCUGUGUCCCUGCAAGUACUCUUAAGCAGUUAUCAACGAACAUCCAAGCCACUUGUUUUUGUUGAACUGCACAGAUUGAGCUCCCACAGUCCUUUACUAGAAAGCAUAUUUUGAUCUAUUAAUAAUUUGCUGAUUCUGCUAUGACAGCCCCUAGUUCACCAGCAUCUUUCUUGAACUGUGGGCAUCAGGAAACAACUGAGCAGUCCAGGAUUUGCACUGACAUCAAGCAGACAUGCAGCAACAUCCUUGCAACUGAUUGUAGAAGAAUUUUCACAUUCUCCUUUUGCCUUUGUGGGUCCCGUGUCCCACAGGGAAUUCACAGUCACCCAGGUAUCUGUUGAACCCCUCAUCCUUCCUAGAACUGCUGGGAUGAGCUCCCCUAUCCUGCAAGCCUACGCUCUACACUGCAUUCUUCAAUGGAUCAUUUGCCAUUUAUCUGCAUUCUAAUGUAGUCUGCUUACCCUACACAGCCAGCAUGUCUACAUAUCUUUAUUUUGCACUCCUUUCCAUUUGGGAGUAUUUUUUACCAUCUGUGCUGCUAACAGGCAGUGUGAUAAAUACAAAAAAAGUAUCAGUUAUUCAGUCCAGGAACAGCAGGGAGAGUGACUACUCUUCAGCUCCCUCCUUUCCUCCUUUCUUUUGCUGUCUCUAGUAGCUGCUGCCAUUUUGGCUGAACAUAAGGACUAUUACAAAAGAGGACAGAGCAUGGCAAUGCAAAUUGAGAAAACAGUACUCUGGAUCACAUCAAAUGUGGACACAAGCAUAUGGAAUCUGCUCCAGAGCCUCUCCCCCGCACUCACCUCUGUGAAGACCAUGAGGGAGGCUAUGGAUGGACAUGGGAAUGGUGGCAUUAGCCAACUGCAGCAUUUCAGUUUCCUUCCUCCGCAGCCACACAGGAACACCUAAGGUCAUUUUAAGCUAUCAGAUUAUCCCCGGCAGCCCAGUAUAACAUGGCCUAAACACUGCCGUGCUCAUCCAGGCUUACUAGCAGGCUCUACAUUGCUAUUGCUGUGCUCACAACAUCCAAGCCCAUCCCUGCAACUGGCAUGCUCUCAACUGUAUAUUAAAUAUUCAAAGGACAUUCCAAAUUGAGUAAUGUUUUGUUUUCAAAGGUGCGAAACAUCUUGCAGAAUUAGAGCCUGUGUGAUAUACAUCUAUGUAUUUUUUUCAUUUGCCUUUUUUCUAACAAAGGAAUUAAUGUCUGCAUGAAUAUAAGAAUUACAGAAAGCAGAACCAGUUGUGUGAACUCGCUCAAGUCUCUUCAGUUUUCAGAGAGUUGGAGACUGUUAUAUUCUUAUCAGAAUUCUUCCAAAAGCCAUCUUUGCUUUGCUUCUUUCAGAAAGCUACUACCCCUGUGUGCUUAAAAUGAUCCCAUGGAUGUGUUGUUCAUCUGAGCUAAUUAAAGCCUGUAGACUAACAGGCACAUUUUGCUCCUCCUCAACAAAUGCUGAAGAAGAGUUAUAUGCAAACAUGUGUAAGAAAUUUUGGGGUUAUAUUAUGAUAGCUUCAUCUGCGUAAAAGGGAUAGCUCUGAGCUGGUACACAAUGCAAACUAAUUUUAAACAUUGUUUUUUAUUUUGAUUUCUCCACAAUAACAAUUUAAAUUACAGGAAGUGCGAAGGAGUAACACUUUUAAAAAUCUUUUUAGUCCUACAGAAAUGUUAAUAUUUAAUAGGUCAAUGUUAACAAUUGUUUUAUUAACUCUUCCAAAUAUUUUCUGCCCAGCUCUUGCCAUAGGAUUUUUUUUUAAAUUAAAAUCUCUUGCAGAUACAUUUGAAGAAUGCUGGCCAGGCAUUUAUUGUAUCUCGACCUUCAAAAUCUCCAUUGACUGGCUGACUAGAUGCAUGGCUUUGAAAACUCUUCUUAUUCUGUGUAAUGAUCUAUUGAGUAAGCAAAUAAAAUAACUGAGAAAUCUAGUCUGGAAAGUGUAUCCUUAUGAACUAUUCUCAUUUUUCACGCCUGUCACUGCCUUCAUAGAAUACUAAUGUAAGAUUGCAACAGUUUGAGAGGAAAUACAUGUGAGGCUAUUUUAACAGACAAGCCCAGAAUGCUGCACAGCCACAUUUCUGUUGAGAUUUAUGAAAACUGCUCCUUAAUUUUUCUUGUGUUUAGAUACUGGCCUGCCUACAAUCAUGUAUCUAUCUGCUGUUAUCUACAGUUUGCCCUGUGGGCUGCAGUCCCUUUCAAAAGUAAAGUGCUGUUCUCUAUGUGGAGCAUGGAUCAGCAAAGGCUGUUCUCAUUGUUUAUAUAAAGACCAAACUGAAAUGAAAUGUCUGUGUAACAAAUCAGAUUUAUAGGCAGGUGGAUAAGCUAGGCAAAUAGAUGAACUGGAUAGUGAUACAGUCCCAGCUGACAUAUGUUGAAUCAAUAUUAAAAUAGCUGUGUUAAACCACAAGGUUUUUACACUGUAUAUGCUGACAGGAGAUAAUGGGUGGAAAAUGAAAGUAAGCAUUUUUCAAAGCAAGCUAAUGAGACAGUUUCUUCAAUGAUGAUCUCAAUAAGACAAAGACAUUGUAUGCUGAAGCAGACAGCACUCUCUAUUUAAGAACACACAGUAGUGGUGCAGGUCUUCCAGGUUAUCCUGUAAAUCUGGAAUGACAGGUAAAAAGCAUUGGAUGAAGGGAGGCUAAUGCACAGAAAAUCCUGUUGCUUCCAGUGCUGAGAGUAACUGCUGUGGUUAGAGGUGGUUUUCCCUCUGCCCUGGCUGAAUGUCAAGGGUUGAGAGAGGGGGAUUGAAAGAGGUGCCCCAGUACAGACAGGGUUGCUUGGCACCAGGUGUGGGAGGGAGAUGCGCUGCCACGUAACAAUGCCGAUACCACUACAAGCUCUUACCUAUCUGGGGAAAGUAUCUCAUUGUCUUAGUUUCAGCUGGGACAGAACUGUUUUCUUCAGAGAGUCUGGUAUGAUGCUAUGUUUUGAUUCUGGGAGAAAAACAAUGUUGAUAACACACCAAUGUUUAUAGCUGCUGGCAAGCAGUGUUAUACAGAGCCAUUCUCAGGAAAGGGCCCAGGGAGCUGGAAGGGAACGGAAUUAGAAUAGCUGACUUAAAUUGGCCAAAAGGAUAUUCCAUACCAUAUGACAUCAAGCAGAAGGAGUUUUGAAGGGGAUGGGAGUUCAUCUGGCUCUCUUCCACUGCUGAGCAUCAGUUGGGGGUGAUGAGCAAUUGCUUGUGCAUCACUUGUUAUAUACACUCAUAUAUAGUUAUUGUCACAGCUUUAAUCCUUUUCCUCUUCUCUAUCUUAGUAAAUAGUUUUACCUCAACCCACGAGUUCUACUUUUUUUUUCCCCGAUUCUCUCCCCCAUCUCACUGGGAAGCAGAGGGAGUGAAUGGCUACGUGGUUCUGAGCCACCUGCUGGGUUAAACCACAACACUCUUCUAAUGAGAAUCUCCUGCUGGUACUAUAUUAUUCACAACGUCUGCAAGGCUGGGGUCCUUUUGCACUAGGCUGUAGCAAAUUACAGUCCCAGGGAUUUACGGCCCUCUCCUGUUGUCCUCAAGAGCAACUGUCUGGUGUCAGUAGGAAUGGUAGCAUAUUUUGCCAUAUCAAAGCAUGAUGUCCUUUGUUGUACAGCUCUCUGGUAGUAAUGCAUUGCCUGAAACUUGUUGUCAGUAAGGUAGGACAAAUCUGUGAUGAGAAAUAAUGUAAUCAGUGGCUAUGCUAAGGUAAAAUUAAAAGCUAAGGGGCAGAGCAAGAAGCAGUAGAUAUCUGAAGAUAACCUUAAAAUAUUGUGAAUGCUUUUCCAUUGGCUUAAUAGGACAUAUUGAAUAUCACAUUUUUUCUAGGGUAAAAAAAAGAAAUAGAAAAAAAAAACACAGGAACAAACAAAAUACAAUAAGCCAUAGGUCAUAAUGAAUAGUUAUUUUGAUUUGUAGUGCACAAGCAGAAUUUGUUAUCCAUCAUCUUAACCACACAAAUCCAACACUGGGCAAGUUAUUCCCCAUUUUCCCUUGCCCCAGGAACAGAAAUCAGAUUUAAAAACAGACCCACAUUGCCAUUUAGGUAUUCUACAGACAUCUGGUGGUGAUCAGAGGCCUCUGUGCCAGUUAGUCCAGCUCAUAGUUGGAUUAGUUCUAAGGAAAAUAAAUAUCUUCCACGGCUAUUGGACUGUUGAAUGCAGGAAGCUGGCUGGGAACAAGGAAUAUUCUUAUUAAAUUAUCUCCUGUGUUAUCAGCUGGCUGUGCCACACAAAAGGGACAAAUGUCACAAUGCCGUGGCUCUAGAAGAGUGUGGUGGCUUCAGAUGCCUUCAUGUGGGCUUAAGCAUUCAGCAAGUGGCACACCACAGAGCAAUUGAUAGUGCAGAAACCACUCCUCCUGCACACCAUUAUGCUUAUGUAACCUUUCUACACCACAGCACUGCAGAGUCUGGAGAUAAUUCUGGAUCUAAGAAAAUCGGGGAGACUUAGGAAGACCAAAACAGAGCUCAGUGCAUGAAGGACAAUCAUCACCCACAGGAGAAGCAGAUUUCUGAGGCCAGCCAGAGAGAAGAUUACUAUGCUUGAAAGAGCCAAGCCUGCAGUGGAUGAACUUGAAUGCUGAGCUAUGAGAACUACCUACCUACAGCUGCCAGAUUUGAAUAUCUUCUCUGGAUUACACAUCUUGGAGCAAAACAUCUGAAUGAGCAGAGAAGAUGGGAUCUCCACACUGUGCAGUUAUCAACAGUUAUCUCAAAGGUGCUUUAGUACUGCUAAAGCAAAAGCUUAAGAUCAACUUUGUGAAAUGCUGAGGAUUUCUCAGAUCUGUUUUUAUUCUGUUAGGGUAGAAUGAAUACAGGGGUGGACUUGAAAGGCCUUCUUAGUUUACAGUGUCAGUCUUAGUCCCUGUAUGACCUUCUAGAAAGAAGCUCAGAGUUGCUACAGAUGAUGUAAAAUGUCCACAUGACAGCAAAUGAAGUAAAAAAGCAGCUGAGUAUUUAGAUGAGGUGGAAGAAAAUGGGGAAUUACUGUUGACUUUGCUGAGGUAGCCACCUGGGACUUCAUCUAGACAAUAAGCAAUGCCAAGAGGAAAUUUCAGCAGAAGAGGCAUGCACUCACUUUCUCAAGGCAUCUUGAUUAUGUGACAAUAUGAGACUACUAUUUUUCAGUCUAUUUCACACUGGGGAAGCUCUUUAGUACAGUACAGACAAAUAAGGUACAGCAUGCAGAGUCAGUGAGAAAUCCAAGCAUAACUGAGAGAAGGACAUAGACUAAUGUAGGUGACUUACUGUGCACAGGUGUAUGUUUGUCUUCCUAUUACAAUUUCCAAACUGUGAGGUCAUGAAACAGCUGGUUAACUCAAGAGGUGAAAAUACUUAAAUGCUGGUGUUGAUCAAAAAGAUUGUCAUGUAGCCUUGUUGACUGAGGAGGCUCUUUGUGCCUUGUAAAAUCUUAAGACUUUUAUUUUUGACUGUGUCUAUGCAGGGUUUUAACAACAUGAGAGCUAAUUAGAAGCAAAUAUGGAUAUUUUCUCCAUCUGCUCAUAUUUUAAAAACACAGUUCUUCAAGCCAAGCAUGCUGAAUUUGCAGUAGGUUUUACUCUCUGCUAGGUACAGUACAAUUUGGCUAAAGCCCUAGGGAGAAGGUAUGCAGGAGGCAGUGAAAUUGAUAUAGCACUGAUCUCGAAGCCCAGUGCUCCUUACAGCAAGAUGAAUGGCAGGUUAAAUCCUGCUAUUGCAAGGGUGGAAAUUGAGCAUCUCUGCUGCAGGAGGGAAUGGGGAGCUCUCAGCUGGGGACGACAGGAUGCAGGGGGUACAGGAAGAGGACUAAUGCAGGGCUCUGCAGUCACAGCCAGGCAGGACAGGACACCACCAGGAGAUCUGCCACCUCACCUUCUUCUGCUGCCAAAGGACUUGCUAGUGCCAUGUUUUAUAAACUCUCUGCAAUGGCAUCCAAAGCAGCCCUGACUUAAACAGGAGUAUUUCCUUUUCCUUAGUUCAGCAUCCUAUUAGGUUAACUAGACUGGAAAGAUAGUAUUGUCCUGACAAAUACAGACCUGUAUUUCUGUAAGAGCAAUGAUAAGGGUUUAUAAUGCAAAGGCAUAUACUUAAGAUCACCUCAUAAAAACACUUUGGUUCCCUUUUCAGUUAGUGUUAACUUUCCAGAAUUUUUUAAAUUGCUGAUGUUCGAGAAGUAUGAUGCUCUUGCCCGAGGCAGGGACACAGCUGAAUGGUUUUGUUUAGGAGGAAGCAAAGGGUUUUUGUCAGAAAAUGCUGAGUGUUUAUACAACAGUCAGCCCUGCUCAGAUUGCACAUCUGGUUUUUCAGAUACUGGCAGAAAUGCUGUCAUAACAUCAAAAUUUUGUCCCAAGGAAAAAAAAAAUACAAGCCCCAAAGCUAGUCAUUACCCCCAUCUGGAGGAAAGCAGCUGCCUGAACCAAUCAACUUUUCUGAGGUCAGGAGUCCCUUCCAAUCCAGACCUGUGCAGCUUUGUUCAUAUGUAGGGCAUGGCACAGAUCACUGCAAACUUGAGAGUCUCCAGAGUGUGAGGAAGUGAUCAGGUAGACAGCAAGGAAUUGAAAAUAUUGGCUGGGAGAACCUGGAGAGCCAGGGACUGUCAGCUUCAGUUGUGAUGUCAUUUGUGGCUUAACUAGGUAACGAGUAAGCAAGCAUUGCUGCCAGUAAAUAACAAGAAAUAACUUCUAAUUGCUCUCAAAGAUCUCUGGUUUCCAAAGGAUUUCAGCGGCAGGGGAGCUUCUGUGUUCCCCAAGCAGAUGUCUUUGUACUUGAAGUUGGGAGGCAAACUGAGAAGCUGGAAGACUGUAGGAGAGACAGGGGUCAGAGAUGCUGCUUUCAUUCCCCAGGAGAAAGUCUACAGAACAGCGCAAGAAACUGUCAUGGUUAUCAUCUCAGCAAUGUGUAAUAGAUUCUGAAGAUCUGAUGUCAUCUUGCCUGGCAUAUGUUACUCCCGCAAAUAAGCUGUUGUGCUGAAUAAUGUACCAUCUGUAUAUUUCGAAGGUCCUCCUAGAAUUGUGAAGACAUAUCACAUCAUGCUUUAAUGGUGUGCUGCACGAACCAGGAUUUUUGUCCUUUAGUGUACAGCUUCCAAAUCUGAUGCUACCAACUGAAAUAAAAUCCUCAGCUCACCUUCUCUUCUCUAGAGCACACUGCUCUCCUUAUCAAACCCUGAAAAUAUGUGCUGGGAAAAGCCUACUGCAAUGAUCAGUUGAAGAAAGAAAUUGUGCUUGCUUGUAUACGCCCACAUGUGCUGUAACACUUGAGGUGGGUUUUUUUAAGUGAUGUUUUUGCUUGCAUGUGGUGCUUGAGGGUGUAGGACAGGUUGGUAGGUUAAGUAGGAAGAAAAUGCAGCAGCGAGUUUCAGCGAGUUUCAGCCUUCCACAGGAAACUCACCAGAAAGAGAUUAAAACUCCAAAUGGUCUUCUUGUAGGGGUUCAAAUGUCACUCAAAGAAAGCCUCCCUCAGAAUACUGUGCAGAACUAGAUCACAUCACAAAAAAGGAUGUGGAACCACUACCUUUGAGGCCUUUGAGUCAUCAGCAACAGGCCUUCUUUGAGUGAGGAGACAGACAAGACAUCUCUGACAGCCACUUCUAGCCAGCACUAUGGUGAUGCUGUGUGCUGGAAGAGUCUGACUCCCAUGGUCCUGCAGGGUGCAGCCCAUGGCCUGGGAGGGAGGAGGGAAGGAAAGAGUGUCCAGAGUACAAAGGGUAGUACCACAGUUCUCCUGUUCCCCAUUUAGGUAAUGAUCUCUCCACCUCUUAGAGAAACUUGUGUAACAUCUUUUCCUGAAGAAAUGCAAUAAUGAGGGCACAUAAAAAAGUGCUCUCCAAUUACUAGUGAACAGGAGGAUCAGCUAUAAUGAACCGCUUUCACUUUUCAGCUUUAAUCCUCUUGCAUGCAUGUUACCUGCAUUGUGUGUUUAACUGAUUCAAUUUUAAAGACUUCCUAGCUAUUACACUGAAGUUUGAUCACCAUUGUGGUUUCUGGUGUAGAGUUAGCAAAACAUUAUUUUUUUCUGGAUCUCAUUUGGGAAAACACUGUGAACAGAUGGUUUACUAUCCAGGUUUUACAAGUGAUUCAAACAGGAGCAGGCACCCUGCAUGCUGCAAACAUUUACAGAGGUUAAGCAUAAUCAAUCCCUGCUAGUCCCUGCCAGCUGCAUUAAUUAUGUUAGUGGUGAGUAUGGGGAAAGAGCCUAAGGAAAUAUAGUUUUAUGAACAUAUUACAUUAUUUUAUGCAGUAUUUAUAAUUGCAGCUGAAGAGCUGACAUAGAUGAAAGAGUCUCAUGUCUAGAGCAGAGAAUUUAAUUUUCAUGUUAGAUUAUUUACUGAUACUGGUGACUAUCAAAAUAAAUUUUUUGUUUCAUUUUACCCUGCAAUGGGAAGGGCUUUUACAACAGUUGCUGGUGAGAGGUACUUUAUUUGGAAUGUUUUUUAUUAUUUCUGAUCAAUUAGUAGAGAGGGAGAAGUAAUGGCAAGAUUUUGUUUGCACAGUAGUUCUCUGGGGCAACUGAAAAGAUAGUUUUAGUAUUCUUACUUUGGCCCUACACCAGCUGAACUUUAUCUAUCUCUGCUCAGUCUCCUUGAGCAAGACUCUGAGAGAUAUACUGUUCAAGAUUUAUAAAGCACAACGCCUGUUUGCUGAUAAGAAAAAUUAGGACUCAUCUUCGACUACACCUGAAGUGCAAGCCAACAAGAAGGUCUGUCUUUGUUCAACAAUUUAUAGUGUAUUUGUUUUCUAGUUACAGUUUUCAAGUUCAGUAAGAGCUGUACAUUGGCAGAGAUCAACAGCCAGGAGAACGUGCAGCCUGGUAAUUUUCUUGCAUGCUUGUUCAAAGUGAAAUGUCUAAUGAGUUGCACACUUUCCCUCACAGGGGAAAUAUUUCCAUUGCUGAAAAUAUUGAAGAGCUUUAUUCUCAGUCUAUUAAAAUCAAUAUAAUGAUUCAUUUACUAGCCCAAACAGAGCUGUGCAAAAAUCACUACUACUCAUGAAUAUAUAAGGUAUAAGCUCUAUUCACUAGUCUAUAGGGAAACUGACCUGCAGGAAAAGAUUUCAUGUUAAAUAAAUGCCACUAAGAGCACCCAUGCUAUAAAUGGAGUUAUAAAGUCAGAAUUUGAUUUUGUCACACAAUCUUUACAGUGCAUUUUUUAAAUUUAGCCAUGGGUGUUAGUGCCUAUAAAAUGUUCUAUGGGUGGCAUAUGGAUAAUUUAUAGAGUUAGUGGUUCAGGAGGAAAUACGUUUUUUUUCUAAGGCAGUACCCUUUGGUUUACUUCUAGGACAUAAAACCCAUGGCCUGAUCAGCUGGCCCCAUCUACAUAUAAAAGUGGAUCUUUGUUUAACAUGCACUGAAUUUUAAUAUGACUGAAAACAUGACUUCUGGAAUCUGAAGAGAAGCAGAGUGCGAUAAUUGCUUGUAUUAUGACAGCCAGCAUUUUGUUUCCUGGGAAAAUUUGCAGCCACCGUGCUCAAGGCUUGCUGAGAACUCAGAAUAGUUGUUAUGACAAGGCAUCAUCAGGAUUGGCACUUCCACAGCAACCAAAGUUCUGCUGUUCUUUCCAAAGCCUUAAAUACUUUUAAAUAUCUUCUGGGGAAAAAAAAAAAAAAAACAAAAAAAAAACCUACCACCACAACAAAAAAACACAGCUCUGCCUCAUGCACUUGACUUCUCAGAGAAGUCACAAAUAUGUUCAGUUUUGGAUGAAGGAAGAGGUUUGGAAAGGAAGGAAAAUAAAAUUCACUUAUCCUCUAGAAAAACUAAUUUCAUUUGAAGAAAUUAAAAGGACAAGUAUUAACUUAUUAUGAAGUAACAAGAUAAAUGCUUCCAUCAAGACAUAAUCCUUUUAUUUCUUUGCCUGAAUCACUUUGUCAGCAGCCCUGGGUAAUUCUUACCAUUAAAUAUUCUUGAGAAAAGAAUUAAUGUACCAAUUCAAUAGAGAACAAAUGGUUUAGAAUGCAUACCUGUGCCACAGUUCUGGCCUGGUUCAGCCCUUUUAAGCAAUCAAACAAAAUUUCAACUGUCCAGUACUCACAGUACCUUUGCUUUGUGCUGAGGUAUUUGAAUAAAAAUAACACUUUUAACACAAAGUGCUAUAGCACACCUUGGAAAACAUGGACACUGGCAUUACAUCUAGUUUGACUUUUAGAGGUGAGCAGGUCCUCGUGCAGGAUUCUUUCUUCAUAUUUACAGCUCCCAGAAUGGUAGCCCUCUUUAGCCCUUGCAUUGUAAUUUCUGUGUAGCAAUAGUGCAUGCUAGUUCAGUGUAUACAGUUCAGAUAGGGUUAAAGUGAUUCCACCAGCAGCUAGGCCCUCUGUGGGCUCCAUGCAAGUCAGUCUCCCAGGUGCUGCAGCUGCACAUCAUGCUAGGAGACAGAGAAGUCAACCUCAGGAAAACCUUCUCACAGUACCGGGCUGAUAGCUCCUUUGGCUCAGAAAGAUGUAACCAAGCACAAAAGACUGUUCUUUGUCCUGUUUCAAUGUAAAAGCACAUUAUAGAAGAGGUUUUAAAACACAAAUACAGUGUAGGGU